UGAGGAAUUUUGCGCAAUGGGAGCAAUCCUGACGCAGCAACGCCGCGUGGGUGAUGAAGGCCUUCGGGUCGUAAAGCCCUGUCAGGUGGGAAGAAUGUCCCGGGACUGAACAGGUUUCGGGAGUGACGGUACCACCAGAGGAAGCAGCGGCUAACUCCGUGCCAGAAGCCGCGGUAAUACGGAGGGUGCAAGCGUUAUUCGGAAUUAAUGGGCGUAAAGCGCGUGUAGGCGGCCCUGCCAGUCUGAUGUGAAAG
rnacentral:rRNA from 1 species